rnacentral:lncRNA from 10 species
AGCUGUAGUACAUCUGUCAUCAAAUUCUAGUCUUGUUCACUGCUUUAAAGUUUUUUAUUAUUUUCCACAAUUUUAACUAAAUCCUGAAUUCUUUCUGGGCUAUAAGUUCCCAAUGCAUUCAACAUUUUUUUCCUUUUAUUACCACUGCACUCCAGCCUGGGUGACAGAGCAAGACUCCGUCUCAAAAAAAAAAAAAAAGAAAAGAAAAAAAUAGUGCCCAAUGUUAAUCUUUGUUUUUUUUUUUUUCUGUUUCCAUAAAAAUGCCUCAUUAAAAAUUUGUUUGUCUUCAUCAUAUGCAGAGGCUUGUAAGGCACACCUCUACAUAGAAAUAAAGGUCAAAAGUAAACUAACUCCUCACUAGUACAUCUACAAACUUUUCCUUGAUUUUCUCUUAUUGAAUUAACCCAACCCCAUGGUUACACAAUGACUCUGCCCAAUUAACUCCCAAGCCAAGGAUUUAGGCCUUUGUAAUUUCCUGACAGAGUAACAGGAGUUAACUCACUGCAAUCUUGGUAUUAUCAGUACUACACAAAGCCCUCUUCAGCAUAAGCACUGCCCUACAAAAUCUCCACAAGUCUUUGUUUCUUUGCAGUCAGCUUCUGCUGACUUGUCCAUUGUCUCUCUGGCAAUGUAUUUUCCUACUUUCUCUAAUAAAUCUGCCUUUCUUUAUCAACAACUCUCUUCUCCUGCCUCAGCCUCCCGAGUAGCUGAGAUUAUAGGCGUGCGUCACCACGCCUGGCUAAUUUUGUAUUUUUAGUAGAGAUGGGGUUUCUUCAUGUUGGUCAGGCUGGUCUUGAACUCCCGACCUCCCUAUAUCAUUAUGUGUUUUUGAAUACAAAGAAAUCCUCAACAAAACAUUUGCAAAUCAGCAAUGUAUAAACAGAAUAGUACAGCAUGGCAUAAUGGUAUUUAUUAUAUGAGCAAUGUAUGAAAAGAAUAGUAUAGGCCAGACACAGUGGAGACAUAAUAAUGUUUAUUCCGGGAAUGCAAGUAAGGUUCAAUAUUUGGAUAUCAACCAAUGUAAUCCACCAUAGCCUCAGGUGAUCCACCCGCCUCAACCUCCCAAAGUGCUGGGAUUACAGGUGAGAACCACCAUGUUGGGCCGAAAAAAAAUGUUUUUAAUUUGACAAUAGACAACUAAAUAUCUACAGCUAUCAUUAUGCUAUUCUCAUAAAAUUCAUUUUGGGAGGCCUAGGUGGGUGGAUCACCUGAGGUCAGGAGUUCGAGACCAGCCUGGCCAACAUGGUGAAACCCCAUCUCUACCAAAAAUACAAAAAUUAGCCCGGCGUGGUGGAGGGCGCCAGUAACCCCAGCUAUCUAGAACUAAUAAGAUGAUAUAGCAAGAUACAAGGUCAAUGUGUAAAGGUAAAUUGUCUUUUUAUAUACCAGUGUCAAAAUCCCAGGGAAUUUUUGGGAGACAUAGACAGGUUGAUUCAAAAAAUUUAUACAGAAAAGCAAAGAAGCUAGAAUAGUUAGAACAAUUUUGAAAAAGAAGAAUAGAUUGGAUUUACCCUGCACAAUUUUCAAAUUUACUCUAAAGGUACUUUAAUUAACAAACACAGUAUGAUAUUGGCAAAGGAAUAGAUGCAAGAUAAACAGUAGAGAGAGUAGAGUGAGAGGAAUAGAUCCACAUACAUAUGGCCAAUGGAUUUUUAAUCCUUUUUAAAAUUAAUACUCUAUUAUUAUUAUUACUAUUAUUAUUAUUCAUGACAGGAUCUCUGUUGCCCAGGCUGGACUGAAGUGGCACAAUCAUGGCUCACUGCAGGCUUGACUUCCUGGGCUCCAGUGAUCCUCCCACCUUGGCCUCCCACAGCUGGUAGCACAGGUGUGCACCACCAUGCCCGGCUAAUUUUUUUAUUUUUGGUAGAGAUGGGGUUUUGCUAUGUUGCCCAAGCUGGAUUUGAAUUCCUGAGCUCAAGCUAUCCACCCACCUCAGCCUCCCAAAAUGCUGGGAUUACAGGCAUGAGCCACUGUGAGUCUGUGCCUUACAAGAAUUAAUUUUUUUAUAAUAGUUUAGAUUUCUAGAAAAAUUAAGCAGAGCAGGGCAGCACAGGGUCACCAUGGUGGAGCUGCAGCAGCUGCGGGUGCAGGAGGUGGUGGACUCCAUGGUGAAGAGUCUGGAAAGGGAGAACAUCUGGAGUUGUGUGACCAAGUGUGUGGAUGACCACAUCCACCUCAUCUCAACUAUGACCAAGAAGAUGAAGGAGGCUGUCUUAUCCAUUGGGAAAUAAAAGUCUUUGCCAGUGGCCAAUGAGGGCAAGAAUGUAUUUUUUAUAAGGAUUGGGACGGAGAUAGUUUGGAUAAGAGCUUCAAAAAGUUCCUUGUGGAUCCCCAUUUUUGAUCAUCAACAUUUGGAUGUGUAUUUCUGAAAAUUAUGCUGUGUGUAGCAAAAUGACAGGGCAAUCUUGCAGUAACAUUUUCGCCUUGAAGAGAAGGGGGUUUUGAUUGGGAUAUGUACUGAUAUCAUUUUAUAGAAUGGAAUGGAAUGAAAGCCUAAACCUAGCAUUACUUAGCCCCCUGAAUUAACAGAGCCCAAUUGAGACAAACCCCUGUUGCUACUAUAAACGGAAUUAUUUCAUAAUUUAUGUGACUUGUUCAUUUCACAUGUGUAGAAACACAGCAGAUUUUUGUGUGUUGAUUUUGUAUCCUACAAUUUUUCUGAAUUCAUUUAUUAGCCCUAGUAGUGUUCUUGUGGGUUCUUGGGGAUUUCCUAUAUUAAGAUCGUUUCAUUUGGGAAUAAGGAUAGGCUUACUUCUUCCUUUGAAAUUUGGAUGCCUUUUAUUUCUUCUUGUUUAACUGCUGUAGAUAGAACUUUCAGUACAAUGUUGAAUAGUAGUGGGUAAAGUAGACAUCUUUGUCUUGUGUCUGAUCUUAGGGA